rnacentral:rRNA from 1 species
UACGUAGGGGGCCUAGCGUUGUCCGGAUUUAUUGGGCGUAAAAGGGCUCGUAGGCGGUCUGUCGCGCGGGAGUGAAAAACUUACAGCUUAACUGUGAGCGUGCUUCCGAUACGGGCAGACUUGAGGUAUUCAGGGGGAGAACGGAAUUCCUGGUGUAGCGGUGAAAUGCGCAGAUAUCAGGAGGAACACCGAUGGCGAAGGCAGGUCUCUGGGCAUUAACUGACGCUGAGGAGCGAAAGCAUGGGGAGCGAACAGG